rnacentral:rRNA from 1 species
UACAGAGGUCUCAACCGUUGUUCGGAUUCAUUGGGCGUAAAGGGUGCGUAGGCGGUCGUGCAAGUCGGAUGUGAAAUCUCAGGGCUCAACCCUGAAACUGCAUUCGAUACUGCGCGGCUAGAGUGCUGGAGGGGAGACUGGAAUUUACGGUGUAGCAGUGAAAUGCGUAGAUAUCGUAAGGAAGACCAGUGGCGAAGGCGGGUCUCUGGGCCGUAACUGACGCUGAGGAGCGAAAGCGUGGGGAGCGAACAGG